CAGGUGUGUCUUAUCUGCUUACACUGGGCACACACCUGAGAAGAGCUCUACAUCUUUACUGACGACCAACCCAAAGAGGAGAGAAACAACAGGCAUAAUGUAGUUCCAGGGACUACAAUGGGUGCGUUACCAGACCAGCACAGUACAGCUUGGCAUGAAUUGGCUCAGUCGUGAGAAACAGUCAGUCCUGACCUGUUCAUGAGUGACAGGGAUGAGUCGGAGUUUGGACAGCUCUCUCAGCACGUUGAGGUCCGUCCGCAUGUCCAGCUUACAGCCCACCAAUACCACCUUGGCGUUAGGACAGAACUCCUGUGUCUCCCCCUGCCACUGUGGAGCAAGAGGAAGAAACUAGUCAGAACCGAGCAUAACAGGCACACGGGACGACAUGGCGAUGACAUGGAGGGAGUGAGGAUGAAAUGGUCAGUGGAUCUAGUAUUCACACAACAUGGACACACAUAAUACGACCAUCAUCAGAACCCUGACAUUUUAAUUGAGUGGUGAUUAUUAUACUUCCUUGGAAAAAUAUCAACAUAACUGACAUUUUACUAGAACAAAUACUAGUUAUAUAUUUGUUUUGUAUAUUGUGAGAUAUGCUGUGAUAUAUGCUGUUGUAAGAGUAGUUAUUUUUCUAGAAGUACAGUAGGAUUAGUUGAGUUACUGCAUGUAAUUACAAAGCAGGUAUGCAAAUAGAGAGAAUAAACCAUAAAGCUUUAAACAAAAAAAGCGAAUUACAUUUCAGAGAAAGAGUUAAACGCAUAAAACAAAGUGUCGACACCGACAUUUUCCCAAUUUUAGUUUUUAAGCACGCCAGUUACUAAUCACGUCUCUGGUUGUUUACUUGAGAAAUGCUGAGUGUUUAGUUCUUAGAACAUUAUUGGAACGUUCUUAAUGACCCCUGGGCACAGGGGGAGGGCACUGCCAACGAGCAUAACUUUCUCUUGGCAUAAGCAAUGCCCCUGCAGAAUCUCCUCUGAUUAACGACAGAGGGCAAAGACUGGCAUCUGGGCAUCUCCCAUGGCACCAGUCCACCCACUCUUGUUGUGUGUAUGCUACUUCAAUGUGGCCAUGCACAAUAAGCAUUAUACAGUGUAUGCCCUAUGUAAGCUAAAUU